rnacentral:rRNA from 1 species
CUUGGUGGCCAUAGCGCAGCGGUCCCACCUGAUCCCAUGCCGAACUCAGAAGUGAAACGUUGUAGCGCCG